GUUUGUUAUGAAAUGGAAUAUCAGACUACAGUUGAUUUUAUUACCAUUCUUCCCGUCUUCUGUUACAUGGAGUAUCCUCUAGCCUUUGUGGCUGACAAUCCAGAGUGCUCUUCUAAAUCCCAGAGGCAUCAUUACCAGAUCAGAACCAUCAACUGAAAAGCAAUUUCAAAAGAACAGGAGAGUACAAGCUGAUAAAGACUGCUUCAGUAAUGCUGAUGAAGUUACAGCUCUGUUUCAGUAUUAAGAACAUAUUAUGCACUAUGUGCAAGUCAGAGGUGUUUUUUUAAUAAAAACCCAAAAACCACAUAUGCCAAAGAAUCCCUGAAAGUUGCCCUAAGAAACCCAGCACAUUGGAGAAUAUUCAGGGCUAUUUUCUAGGGCACACAUACUGUUAAUGCUGGGUACUGUGCAGACCAAAUGAGUCUACCUGUUGCCCCAUGUAAACAAAGAUUGAGACUUUGAACCCUUCCAUUGCUCUCCUGCAGCUGCAGGUGUCCCAGUUCCUUAUUAUAUAGCCCACAGAAUCUCAAGAGUUAACUACACCUUGAUCAUCUACAGACUUUAGCCCUAUUCACAUUAUGUUCAAUGUACAAUCUGUAUACAGUGUGUGCAUGCAGAGAUCUGUAUAGUUAUUCACGUUAUGCUAAAUACACAUAGAUCAGAGUUAAGGUCAUCUGAAAACGUCCAUCUCCAGUUACCUCUGGUGAGUCUGGUGGCUACCCAGAGGCAGGCCUUCUCUGUAGCUGCUUCAGGACUGUGGAAUGCACUCCCUACAGAAAUCCGUAAUUUGAAUUCUUUAUUGCCCUUCAGGAGAGCCCUUAAAACCUAUCUGUUUGGCCUGGCCUUCUAGGGUUUUUAAAGUGUUAUAAAUGGUUUUAAUGUUGUAUCCUGGUUUUUCAGGGUUCUGAUUGUUUAACUGUUUUGUUUUAAUUGUUUAGUUGUUGUAGUAUGCUGUUUUAUAGUUUAAAUGUUAAUUGAUUUUAAUGGUUUUGUUUUAAUUGUAAAACACCCUGAGCCAUUUUGGAAGGGUGGUAUAAAAACUGAAUAAGUAAAUAAAGCAGUACACUUCCUA